rnacentral:misc_RNA from 1 species
UCCAGCUUAUCGCUGGCGGUCUCCUGAGAGUGCACCUUUCGGUUAGCAACACAGGACAAGGGUUGCGCUCGUUGCGGGACUUAACCCAACAUCUCACGACACGAGCUGACGACAGCCAUGCAGCACCUCGACUACGCGUCCCUUGCGGGAAGGCUCCUGUUUCCAAGAACUUUCGGUAGCCGUUCGAGCCCAGGUAAGGUUCUUCGCGUUGCGUCGAAUUGAACCACAUGCUCCACCGCUUGUGCGGGCCCCCGUCAAUUCCUUCGAGUUUCAGCCUUGCGACCGUACUCCCCAGGCGGCAUACUUAACGCGUUAGCUCCGGCACGGAUCAACUGAAUGACCCACACCAAGUAUGCAUCGUUUAGGGCGUGGACUAC